rnacentral:rRNA from 1 species
GACGAACGCUGGCGGCGUGCCUAAUACAUGCAAGUCGAGCGAACGGACGAGACGCUUGCUUCUCUGUUGUUAGCGGCGGACGGGUGAGUCACACGUGGAUAACCUCCCUAUAAGACUGGUAUCACUUCGGGAAACCGGCGCUAAUACCGGAUAAUAUUUUGAACCGCAUGGUUCGAAAGUGAAAGUCGGUCUUUCUGUCACUUAUCGCUGCAUCCGCGCUGCAUUAGGUAGUUGGUAAGGUAACCGCUUACCAAGGCAACGAUGCAUAGACGACCUGAGAGGGUGAUAGGCGACCUGGGAACGGAGACAGGGACCAGACGACUAAGGGAGGCAGCAGUAGGGAAUCGUACGCAAUGGGCGAGAGUCUUACAGAGCAACGGGGCGUGAGUGAUGAAGGUGCUCGGAUCGGAAAACUCUGUUAUGAGGGGAGAACAGAUGUGUAAGGAACCGUGCAGAUAGUGACGGUACCGGAUCAGAAAGCCACGGCUAACUACGUG